UCUCUUUCUCUCUCUAGGGUUGAAUCAAUAAGCCGCCUCCCAUCAUCUGUAUUCCACGAUUUCUUCCUAAUCGCACCAUCAUCAUCUCGCCAUCAUCUGUCACAACCCUAAUCUCUUCCUCCCUCAGCCUUCCUCCAUCGCACCAUUGUUUGUCACAUUCCUAAUCGGAGCAUUGCAAGUCGGCACCUCAAUGCGUUUCUGGUUUAGCCGGUGUUUCUAGGUCGGAUAUUGUUUUUGGUUCGGCCGCCAAUCCAUCACCAAAGAUUUCAAGGAUUGCUUGCUGAUAGUGGAACAAGAACCAAAAUAAAAUUCCUUUGACUCGCAACCAAUGUGCCCUAACUGUUGGAUCUACUCAGCCUUUGGAUGUCAUUUUUCUCAUCAUCAUCUUUUUAACUGGGAAAUAUAGAGGAAUGAAAAAAAGAUCUUAUGAUGAAUUGCAACAAUUUCAUUAUAGAGGUUGGCUCAGGUGGGCUCCCGUCCGAGAACAUACAUGUUUUUUUUGGCCAGGAGACACUUCAAUCAGAGACAAAACAAGGUAAUUUUACUUUUGACUCCUUUUUUUUUUACUAACAUUUGUUUAGGCACAUGGAAAAAAACUUAUUAGCUCAAGCAAUCUGAUUUGCAACUUUUUUGUGUUAAAUUGAAAUCUAUCUAUCCAAUUAUUAUUGUCCAAAAUUUGGACAAGGGUAUUGUUGUCCAAAAUUUGUGAUCUCUUUUCUGUAAUUCUGAUGUAGAAUCAGUUGAUCAUGUUUUCGUUAAAUCUGUGCUUGCAAAUAACCUGUGAAAAAUGGAUGAAUUUUCUGUGUAAUCUGAUAACAGGCCAACCUUCUUCAUGGGAAUUUCUUUGAAUUUUUCUGUUACGUUUGAAUGCUCGACAAAGGUAAACUAUAUUGUUAAUAUCCAAUGCUUUAUUGCUAAUCAGAGAGAUGCCAGAGAAAGUUUUGAACUGACUAUGAAGGUUCUGAGAGUUCUUCCAUAUGGGUUUUGUGGAGGUACUUUGGAUUUUUUUGAGAAGAUGAAAGGUGAAGAAUUUGAGCUAGAGGAGAAUGAAAAAUUGUAUUAUGUUCUAUAUUUUUUUAGAUGUAAGUUAUAUUAUAUUACGAUGAAUUCAUUUAUGUUAGAAUGUAUAUUUAUUUAUAAAUAGCAGUGUAUUCAUUUGCGAAUAGCAGUGCAUUCAUGUGUGAAUGAAUGUAUUUAUUUAUGAUUAGAGGUAUUCAUAUAUUCAUUUCUGAAUAACAGGGUACUUAUUUGUUAAUAACAGUGUAUUCAUUUAUGAAUAACAGUGUAAUCAUGUGUUAA